AUUGAACGCUGGCGGCAGGCCUAACACAUGCAAGUCGAACGAGUGGCGGACGGGUGAGUAAUGUCUGGGAAACUGCCUGAUGGAGGGGGAUAACUACUGGAAACGGUAGCUAAUACCGCAUACCCUCGAAUGUGCCCAGAUGGGAUUAGCUAGUAGGUUGGGUAACGGCGCACCUAGGCGAAGAUCCCUAGCUGGUCUGAGAGGAUGACCAGCCACACUUGAACUGAGACACGGUCCAGACUCCUACGGGAGGCAGCAGUGGGGAAUAUUGCACAAUGGGCUCAAUCCUGAUGCAGCCAUGCCGCGUGUAUGAUGAAGGCCUUCGGGUUGUAAAGUACUUUCAGCGGGGAUGCGUUACCCGCAGAAGAAGCACCGGCUAACUCCGUGCCAGCAGCCGCGGUAAUAC
rnacentral:rRNA from 1 species